GGUUUCAUAGUGUAGCAGUUAGCACGUCUGCUUUACACGCAGAAGGUCCUGGGUUCGUGCCCCAGUGGAGCUA
rfam:Pteropus alecto contig109444, whole genome shotgun sequence.